AACGCUGGCGGCGUGCUUAACACAUGCAAGUCAAGGGGAAAGGUUAAUUUCGGUUGACCGAGUAUACUGGCGAACGGGUGAGUAACGCGUAGGUAACCUACCUAAGAGUUUGGGAUAACACUACCAACGUGGUGCUAAUACUGGAUGAAGCCUUCUGCUCACAUGAGUGGGGGGUUAAAGCGGGCGUAAGCCUGUGCUCAUAGACGGACCUGCGUCUCAUUAGCUAGUUGGUGAGGUAGAGGCUCACCAAGGCGACGAUGGGUAGCCGACCUGAGAGGGUGACCGGCCACACUGGGACUGAGAUACGGCCCAGACUCCUACGGGAGGCAGCAGUGAGGAAUAUUGCGCAAUGGAGGCAACUCUGACGCAGCAACGCCGCGUGCGGGAUGACGCUCUUAGGAGUGUAAACCGCUGUUAGCAGGGACGAAUGGAGUGCACAAGACAAAGGUGCACAGAUGACGGUACCUGCAGAGGAAGCCCCGGCUAACUCCGUGCCAGCA
rnacentral:rRNA from 1 species